AGGUUUUGGAAUUAUUGCUACAUCGAGACCAUUUAGAUUCGGUUGUUGUGGUACCAUUAAAAAAUGGCGAGCUGUAACGAAAGGCCCCGGGGAAGUAAUAUUCCAAGUAUGGAGACAUUCCGACAAGAAAAACCAUUACAUUCUGAUGGGACAGAACCGUGUCAAGUGUAAGCAACUUUACAUAAGAAUUAGGAGAUGUGGUAUGAUUGCCAAUGAGGCAAAUAUCUACCUAAGUUCAAAUUUAGUGGAGAUUUCAAUUUCACAAUUCACUUUAUUUUCGAUAGAAUAAUCGUACUACAAAGGUAAAGAUUGCAAGAAUGCAGUUCCAAAUUAAUUGUAUUUCAAAGUUAGCGUGAUUUUCGUUUUAAUAUACUUUUUAUACACUUUGGAUAUGCUUGUAGAUCAUAGCAUUGUUGUUUAUAUCAUUUGUCAGUAUAAAAAUGACAACGUCUUGGAAAAACAUACAGUGAUAGCAUUAUAAGAGAAGAAAUAAAAAAAAAAAAUGAAAUGUUCUUAAAUGUAGUUUUCUGAAUAUUGAAACUUUUUUUUGAGUUGUGCAUUUGUAAUUCUAUCCUCUUGUUUGUCUUGUUGGUCUAUUUCACAUUAUACUGUUACUAUUGAGAAAAAAAAUACCAGAAUAAGUAGAUCUUGUUUUGAUAAGCAGCAUUUCUAUUUUGAAAAGAGGGUGCGGAAGAUACCAGAGGGACAGUCAAACUCAUCGAUCGAAACUAAACUGACAACGCCAUGGCUAAAAAUGAAAAAAACAAACAUACAAACAAUAGUACACAAGACACAACAUAGAAAAAGACUUAAGCAACACGAACUCCAUCUCAUAACUUGGGCUGAUCUCAGGUGGUCUGAAAGGGUGAUCAGAUCCUGCUCCACAUGUGGCACCCGUCGUGUUUCUCAUGUAGAGGUUAUUUCACAGUUUUCUAUCCUAUAUUUAUCAUGUCAUUUAUUAUGUUGUUUAUCAUUUCUUACAGUCGAUAAGGCUGGGGAUACAACAGUGGACAUACCACAAAGCGAAAGAAUUUCCGUUAACAAGGGUGACUACAUAGGAUGGUA
rnacentral:lncRNA from 1 species